UGUUUCAGAUUUUAUGAUUAUGAAUGGCUAGUCCGAUUUGAGAAGUUAAGCAUCGUCGAGCCACAUCAGUACUGAGGUUGGAGACAACUUGGGAACCUGUGGUGCUGUAGUCU
rnacentral:rRNA from 1 species